AGGACAAACGCUGGCGGCGUGCGUAACACAUGCAAGUCGAACGCUCUGGUCUCUUUCGGGAGAGCAGGGAGUGGCGGACGGGUGAGUACCACGUGGGUCAUCUACCGUGAGGUGAGGAAUACCGGCGAGAAAUCGCCGACAAGACCGCAUAGCCUCGGUGCAAGUCGAGGAAAGCUCUCUCGAGAGAGGGAGCGCCACACGAGGAGCCUGCGCCCGAUUAGCUAGCUGGUGGAGUAAUGGUUCACCAGGGCGACGAUCGGUAGCUGGUCUGAGAGGACGAUCAGCCACACUGGGAUUGAGAACGGCCCAGACUCCUACGGGGGCAGCAGUGAGGAAUUUUCGUCAAUGGGGGCAACCCUGAACGAGCAACGCCGCGUGCAGGAAGAAGGUUUCGGAUCGUAAACUGCUUUUCUCGGGGAAGAGAACGGACGGUACCCGAGGAAUCAGCCCGGCUAACUACGUGCCAGCAGCCGC
rnacentral:rRNA from 1 species